UUUCACCUACGGGGGGCAGCAGUGAGGAAUAUUGGUCAAUGGGCGGGAGCCUGAACCAGCCAAGUCGCGUGAGGGAAGAAGGUACUGAGUAUUGUAAACCUCUUUUGCCAGGGGACAAAGGCGGCCACGGGUGGCCGUAAGAGGGUACCUGGAGAAAAAGCAUCGGCUAACUCCGUGCCAGCAGCCGCGGUAAUACGGAGGAUGCGAGCGUUAUCCGGAUUUAUUGGGUUUAAAGGGUGCGCAGGCGGAAUGUCAAGUCAGCGGUAAAAUUUCGGGGCUCAACCCCGUCGUGCCGUUGAAACUGG
rnacentral:rRNA from 1 species